AAUUCGAUACAACGCGCAAAACCUUACCAGCCCUUGACAUAUGAACAACAAAACCUGUCCUUAACGGGAUGGUACUGACUUUCAUACAGGUGCUGCAUGGCUGUCGUCAGCUCGUGUCGUGAGAUGUUUGGUCAAGUCCUAUAACGAGCGAAACCCUCGUUUUGUGUUGCUGAGACAUGCGCCUAAGGAUAAAUUGCCACCGAAGUGAGCCGAGGAGCCGAGUGACGUGCCAGCGCUACUACUUGAUUGAGUGCCAGCACGUAGCUGUGCUUUCAGCAAGAAUUUCACCAUUGGGAGCCGGUGCCUUUCGAAGCACUUUCACGUGUGAACCGAAGUCGUCUUGCCGAACUCAAGACCCACGGAGACCUACCUAUAGUGACGUCAAAGUACCAGUGAGCAUGGAGGUUUGGUUAGGCUUGGUUACGACGACGUCGAGUUGGCGGCGGAGGAAGACUCGGCAUGAAGGCCAGCCACCCGGUGGUGUGGUACGUAGUGGUAAUAGUACGCGCCCCGCUCCGAAACAAAGAAAAAGGUGCGUGCCGCACUCACGAGGGACUGCCAGUGAGAUACUGGAGGAAGGUGGGGAUGACGUCAAGUCCGCAUGGCCCUUAUGGGCUGGGCCACACACGUGCUACAAUGGCAAUGACAAUGGGAAGCAAGGCUGUAAGGCGGAGCGAAUCCGGAAAGAUUGCCUCAGUUCGGAUUGUUCUCUGCAACUCGGGAACAUGAAGUUGAAAUCGCUAGUAAUCGCGGAUCAGCAUGCCGCGGUGAAUAUGUACCCGGGCCCUGUACACACCGCCCGUCACACCCUGGGAAUUGGUUUCGCCCGAAGCAUCGGACCAAUGAUCACCCAUGACUUCUGUGUACCACUAGUGCCACAAAGGCCUUUGGUGGUCUUAUUGGCGCAUACCACGGUGGGGUCUUCGACUGGGGUGAAGUCGUAACAAGGUAGCCGUACUGGAAGGUGCGGCUG
rnacentral:rRNA from 1 species